GGCGUCUAUGUUUUUUCUCAUAACUUCUCCUCUGAGAGCCGUCUGCUCUCUCUCACUGUCACAGAUCCAGAUAAGACUCUUUACAGAACAGUUUUCCUCAUCAGACUGGUCGUCCUGCCGGUGACUCUGCUGCUGUCUAACACUGCCCUCUAUUUCAUCAUGAAGGCCAGCAGGGGGCAGAAGUCAGAC